GGGGAUAACAUUUGGAAACAGAUGCUAAUACCGCAUAACAAUUUGAAUCGCAUGAUUCAAAUUUAAAAGAUGGCUUCGGCUAUCACUUUGGGAUGGACCUGCGGCGCAUUAGCUUGUUGGUAGGGUAACGGCCUACCAAGGCUGUGAUGCGUAGCCGAGUUGAGAGACUGAUCGGCCACAAUGGAACUGAGACACGGUCCAUACUCCUACGGGAGGCAGCAGUAGGGAAUCUUCCACAAUGGGCGCAAGCCUGAUGGAGCAACACCGCGUGAGUGAAGAAGGGUUUCGGCUCGUAAAGCUCUGUUGUUAGAGAAGAACGUGCGUGAGAGCAACUGUUCACGCAGUGACGGUAUCUAACCAGAAAGUCACGGCUAACUACGUGCCAGCAGCCGCGGUAAUACGUAGGUGGCAAGCGUUAUCCGGAUUUAUUGGGCGUAAAGCGAGCGCAGGCGGUUUGAUAAGUCUGAUGUGAAAGCCUUUGGCUUAACCAAAGAAGUGCAUCGGAAACUGUCAGACUUGAGUGCAGAAGAGGACAGUGGAACUCCAUGUGUAGCGGUGGAAUGCGUAGAUAUAUGGAAGAACACCAGUGGCGAAGGCGGCUGUCUGGUCUGCAACUGACGCUGAGGCUCGAAAGCAUGGGUAGCGAACAGGAUUAGAUACCCUGGUAGUCCAUGCCGUAAACGAUGAGUGCUAGGUGUUGGAGGGUUUCCGCCCUUCAGUGCCGCAGCUAACGCAUUAAGCACUCCGCCUGGGGAGUACGACCGCUAGGUUGAAACUCAAAGGAAUUGACGGGGGCCCGCACAAGCGGUGGAGCAUGUGGUUUAAUUCGAAGCUACGCGAAGAACCUUACCAGGUCUUGACAUCUUGCGCCAACCCUAGAGAUAGGGCGUUUCCUUCGGGAACGCAAUGACAGGUGGUGCAUGGUCGUCGUCAGCUCGUGUCGUGAGAUGUUGGGUUAAGUCCCGCAACGAGCGCAACGCUUGUUACUAGUUGCCAGCAUUCAGUUGGGCACUCUAGUGAGACUGCCGGUGACAAACCGGAGGAAGGUGGGGACGACGUCAGAUCAUCAUGCCCCUUAUGACCUGGGCUACACACGUGCUACAAUGGACGGUACAACGAGUCGCGAACUCGCGAGGGCAAGCUAAUCUCUUAAAACCGUUCUCAGUUCGGACUGCAGGCUGCAACUCGGG
rnacentral:rRNA from 1 species